GCCUCUGUAGCUCAGUUGGAUAGAGCGACCCUCUCCUAAAGGGUAGGUCGUCGGUUCGAUUCCGGCCAGGGGCA
rnacentral:tRNA from 1 species